AUUGUACUCCCUCCGUUCGGAAUUACUUGUCGCGGAAAUGGAUGUAUCUAGACGUAUUUUAGUUCUAGAUACAUCCAUUUCCGAGACAAGUAAUUUCGAACGGAGGGAGUACAAU
rnacentral:pre_miRNA from 1 species